ACAAUCCUUCAGUUAAUACAAACUGAGUCUGUGGUGAAAGUUUCCUCACACAUGGAUCAGUAGCACAGUUUGAUGUUCUGCUUGUUCAUCUGACGGACACGUUAACGGCGACUGCGCUCCCGUUUCUGUGAAGGUCCAACUUGACACACAACUUGAAUCCAACCGGACUGAAUACUGACUCCAGGGACGGACGAGACUGAAGGACACAGCUGUGAUGACCAUGUUCUGUCUCUUAUGGCAAAGCAGAAAUAUAAAAUACUGGGUUCUUAUCUAAAGUGUAUCAAAUCAGAUCUCCACCAUGUUGCUGCUGAGGACAUCAGGUGCUGCAGUUCUUCAUCUAUGAAGAGAAAAAACGCACUGUUAAAGAAUGUUUUGUGUUGUGUAUAAAGCACAACAGAUUUCAGAUAGAACCGUUGUAGUGUGGUCUUGGUUUGUAUCCUCAUGGUUAAAUGUACAUAUUUUAAGUCCCUUCUGAUAAAAGUACUGAAAGAAAUACAACAUUGUACAAAUAGAUAAAAUGUCUUUCUACCUCAUCAGUACUAUUCAAGGUGAUAAUCUCCCACAGAGUUUAUCACCUUGAAAACAGUCCACAUCAAGUCUUUCCACUUCUCUCAGUGUGAAAACAUAUUUCUAUAAUUAAUUUGAGAACUGUUUACAACACUGAUGUGUGGAGAUUAAAAUCAUAUCUAAACUGUCUAAUUCACUGUAAAACUCCAUGACAUUCGCAGGCCAUCUGUAGUUAAGGGAGCAACGCAUGGAGUGAUGUGUAGAUUAAUAGUUUGAUGAUGCAUGAGGAGAGGCGGUGGUCGAGUGGCAGAAACUUGGACUAUGGGCAGAGAAGGUCUCUUGUUCGUCUUUGGUUCGACUCCAUGGAGAGACAACAAAAGUCGAACCUGGAUUGAUCUGUCCAAAAAUCCAAGAGUCUCCCUACCCUCUCUAGUGCCCAUGAGCAAGGCACCUCACUCCCCCAACAUCUGCUCCCCGAGCGCCGUACAUGGUCGCUCACUGCUCUGUGUGUCCUGCACCAGAUGGGUAAAAAGCAGAGAUUACAUUUCCCUACCUGCAUGAGUGUGCCUUUGCAUGUCUGUGCAUGUGUUUGGGACGAAUAAAUGGAUCUUAAUCUUAAUCUUUUAAUCUUAAUCAGUUGUCUUCCAGUUGACCAGCAUGAAGCAGCAGAUCUCCACCAUGUUGCUGCUGGGGACAUCAGGAGCAGCAUUAAUGAGGAGCAGAAGCGUACUGUUAUGAAUGUUUUGUGUUGUUUAUGAAGCACCACAUAUUUCAGCUAGAACCGAUGUACUGGGGUCUGGGUUUGUAUCCUAAUGGUUAAA